GGGGGGCAGGUUGGGUCGGGGCUCUGGCCAGGCUUCUGGGAUCUGGUGGAGGGUGGGUGGGCAGGCACAUCCAGGCUCCUGAAGCUGGCAGGGGGCAUGAAAGGAGGCGCCAAGGAGGAAGAUUAAGGUACUAUCAGAGUUAAGGGCAGAGCCCAGGGUAGCCCAGAUGUUCCCGGAAGUGCAAGCACAGGAGAGCGGUGAGAGUGUGUGCACAGGGUGUGUGCCCAUGGUCCCCGCAGACGUGGCAGCUCCGGGUAGGGGCUGAGCUAGGGCGGCCAGCCCUCCUUUACCCGGCUGGCUGCCAGUCCCAAGGGAGCCCUGUGCCAGCCCGGACAAUGCACCAGGUAGACUCUGCUCGCCCCCUCCUGCCAGGCUGAGCUGACUUCCUGCAGGGGCCCCCUGUCUGUCACCAGCCUCAGCUUCUCCUUUUCCUCUGCACAUCUAGAGCUUCUUCCCCACCCCCUGCCCUGGGAGCUCUGUGGCCUGGGACCCAGAGAUAGUUGCAAGGCUGGCCACUACUCCUGGCCUUCUCCAGCUGUGAACAGUUCAUCAGGGCAGGAGUCCCAGAGGCAGCUUCCGGAGGUGCUUGGUGGCAUCUGGGAACAACCUCAAGGUGACGGGCUGCCCAUGGUCACCAUCAUCGUUGCUGUCUUUGUUCUGCUAGCAGUCUGCAUCAUAGUGGCAGUCCAUUUUGGGCCAAGGCUGCACCAGGGCCAUGCCACUCUCCCUACAGAGCCACUGAUCCCAAAGCCAGAUGGUGGCAUCUACCUCAUCCACUGGCGGGCACUGGGCCCCCAAGACAGUCCUGAAGAAGCACUGCGGGGCCCUCUUGUCCCUGGCUCCUGCUCUGCACCAGAUGGACCCAGGCCCAGCAUCGAUGAAGUCACUUAUCUGUAGGAGGGAGACUUUGGAAAGUUAACCUGACCUAGCUCAGAACAAGAAACCAGGCAGAGAACUAGGGCAAAAGCAAAUUGGAGCCUGGGCAUCAGAGCGUUGGAAGGGCACACUGGACUCAGCUGGAGCUGCUCUCUCAGAACAUUUAUAGAGAAAGCCCUGUGGUGGGCAGGAGAAAUCAAAGCUUGAGGGCCCUGCCCAGAAACAUGCGCUGGUGGCCUUCCCAAGGUCACCUCACAAAGUCCCUCCCUCCUCUUCAGGGACCACCAGACCCCUGAAUCUCCUUUUCUGAGUCUCUGCCCCUUCAUUGCACCUCUAAUCUCCUUCCCUUGUAAUGUGAAUCCAACUCAGGAGAUUCCACCACCUCCCCCAAGCAGGAAUGUCAGAGGCCCCGUGGAGCGGCCCUCAUCCUACAAAGGCCAGCCAGGGAGAGCCCAGGCAGAGAAGCUGGUGUCUGCCUUCCCUGAGACUCACUGGGCUCAAGGAAGUGACGAACGUCUGUUCUCCUUGAUCAGUCAGGGGCAGUCCUUCGGCUGUUAGGGCCCAGACCUUGUUGACAAGCUCCAAAGUCCUUGUAAGCCCAAGCACAAUUUGUAGUUCAAACAUUGGCUUUCAGAGGCCCCCACUGACUCUGUCUUGCCUCCCCAGAAGGGAUAGGGGGGAUUUGGGAGGCUCUCAUGGCCUCCCACUUUCUGUGUGCCUGGGCCUGUUGGAAUAAGCCUAGAAUGUACCAUAGGACAUUUCCCAGAUCUUUCCAGCUGAUGAGAAAACAGGAAAGGAAAAGGAGCUCCAUGGAACUUGUUUUGGGAAGGAAGGAACGGGGUGGGGACCACUCCCAGCAGUGGGAGGGCCUGGGUCUAGUCAGCAGGGGGGUCAGGAUGAUGCAUCCAGGAGCCAGAAAGACAAAACUGGGCCUUCUGGUGACUCAGUGCCUGCUGGUGGCACUGCCUUCCCCAGCACCUCUGAAUCUCACUCGUCUGCAGUUAAGAACAUGCAGACAAACAUUCAUGGCGGGACUUCUGGUGCUGUACCCUGGGGAACUCCUGGGGACAAGAAGUCCCCUGGCGGCAUCAGUAAGACCCCAGCACAGCCAGGGAGGCUGGGAAAUAACAGGAGAUAAAAAGGAACAGAGGUGGGGAUUGCAGAGUGUGCAGAGGGCAGGCUUGCCUCCUUUGGGAUCUGGGAGCGGCAGCUAAAGUGUUAAUAGCUGCCCCGUGUUGUGGGUCAGCUAUGUGCUGGACACCAGGCUUCUCUGUGGACCUACAGAUAUGAUACCAUUCACUCCUCACAGCAACCUCCAGGGGAGGGGCCACUGCUAUCCCCAUUUUACACUUGGGCAAACCGAGGGUUAUCAAGAUACUUAGGUAGACACAGGUACUAAGUGGUAGAGUCAGGAUUUGAACCUGGGGCCAUCAGACUCCACAGCCUAAGCCCCAUGAUAGGGACUGGAUGGAUUGGAAAGGCCUUUGAUUCUGGGCUGGUUUCUAGUAUACAAGCCACUGGUGUGAUGAUGGAGGAUCUUCAGGCCUUGGGGACAGGGUGGCUGGGAUACUUAGGAAGAGUGGGGACUGUUCCCUCUUGACUCCCUUGGCUCUGCCGUCCUUAGGGGCAGCCAGUUCCUUCUGACCCAUGUGUGUCUGUGUGGAGCAUUUCUCCGCAGUGAUGCUGUACUCAGAAAUGUAUAUUGAGCAUUUGUGACCAAAAAAAAAAAAAAAAAAAAAAAAA
ensembl:lncRNA